rnacentral:rRNA from 1 species
GAGAGGAAGAGGGACACGCCGAGACGGAAGAGACACAGAGAGAGAGAGGGGCAGAGGAAAAAAUCAACCCACCUCCACCACCGGGCAGAGGAGAGAGGAGCGACCUCCGCCGCGCUGCCGCGGUGUUGACCCCUCCCCCCACGCUGGAUCCCCCCACGGCGGCGGGCGCGUCCUUCGGCGGCGGCGGCGCGUUGUUAUGCCGAGAGGCGCCCAGGUUUCAACACCAUUCGCCUCUGGGUUUCUAGCAUUCUCAGAAAGGAUAUGGAGCGCACCCUCUAUGCAAGUUCCCCUGUAUCCCACGUCUCGCUGCUUGAGCAAGUUCUUGGCUGGAGAUUUUGUCUUUACGGAGACUUCCUUGUCAUCUCCUUCGUCAAUUGCACCUGAAGAACACACCUGGCUUAGCGACUACCGUGCCUGGUCCCAUGCUACUGGACAUUAGGGUCGACUAGUGAUUGCGGUGCACAUCUAUUCGAGCAUGGUGCGUCUCUUCUCUGGCAACAUUUUCGUAAUUUUUGCCGUGGCACUGGUCAGCCAGCAAAAGUUACCAUCAGAACUUCUUUGGACACUUGGGAUCUAACCCGUAGAUCCUCCUUGUCGGUUACAAGCUCUAGCAGGUUCUGGUUUUCUUUGCUUCUGUCAGCUCUCUUCUCCCCUAUCACUGUGAGUUUUCAGUUUGUCCGGCUUGAUCUUUGGUGUGUAUAGUGUGCACUGUUCUUCAUCGGGCUUCACUUCUGAUGGCGUAACGUGAGGGCAAAGGUGUUCAAGUUUAUUUGUCACAAAGUAUGGGUAUUGCUUACAGACGUUUGAAAAAAGCCUGCAGUGACUUUGGUGAUCUACUCUCCAAAGACAUUCCGGCAAUACGCGUAUGAGUCUUGUUUGUGUUUAUAGGACUGUUCAAAAAUAAGGACAGCUUUGCAUUCUAGCUAAUAAAAUGGAGAGGUAUAACAUUAUUACGGAAGUGGGUGACGGUACGUUUGGUAGUGUUUGGCGUGCAAUCAAUAAAGAAAGUGGCGAAGUGGUCGCAAUCAAGAAAAUGAAGAAAAAAUAUUUUUCUUGGGAGGAGUGCAUCAAUCUCCGUGAAGUUAAGUCCCUCCGAAGGAUGAACCAUCCAAACAUUGUGAAGCUCAAGGAGGUCAUAAGAGAGAAUGAUAUGCUGUUCUUUGUUUUUGAAUACAUGGAAUGCAAUCUCUAUCAGCUGAUGAAGAGCAAGGGCAAGCCUUUUUCGGAGACUGAAAUCCGGAACUGGUGCUUUCAAAUAUUUCAAGCUCUUAGUCACAUGCAUCAACGUGGAUACUUUCAUCGUGACCUUAAGCCUGAAAAUCUGCUAGUUACAAAGGAGCUCAUCAAGGUAGCUGAUUUUGGGCUUGCUCGUGAGAUUAUUUCUGAACCACCAUACACAGAAUAUGUGUCAACUCGCUGGUAUCGUGCCCCAGAGGUUCUACUUCAAGCUUCUGUUUACAGCUCAGCAGUUGACAUGUGGGCUAUGGGCGCCAUUAUUGCAGAGCUUUUUUCACACCGACCUCUUUUCCCUGGCUCAAGUGAAGCAGACGAGAUAUACAAAAUCUGUAGCAUUCUUGGCACACCAAAUCAGCAUACUUGGGCUGGAGGACUGCAGCUGGCAGCAUCUAUCAAUUUUCAGUUUCCUCAGUCUGGAAGCAUAAAUCUUUCAGAAGUGGUUCCCACAGCAAGUGAAGAUGCGCUGAACCUUAUUUCGUGGCUUUGCUCAUGGGACCCACGUAAACGGCCAACCGCAGUGGAGGUUUUGCAGCAUCCCUUCUUUCAGCCAUGCUUCUAUGUCCCCCCUUCACUUCGUUUCAGAUCGACCGGAUAUGCAACAACACCACCAUCAGUUGGGGCUAAAGGAGCUAUGGACCAGAAGAAUGCUAGGCGAUACCCUGUGGGGACUUUAUCCAAUGGGAGACCGGCAGUCAAUAACUCGUACUUGAGCACUAAUAACGUCCCAGCAAGAGCAGCUGGCGUGCAAAGGAAGCUAGAGUUGGAUCAUCAGGUGAAACCAGAGAGCAACCAUAAGCUGACGAAGGAGAACGCUAUGAACCAGCCCUGGUCCAGACUACCACCAGCACCAGUGAGGAGCAAAGGGAACAACUACCUUGCUGCCAAGGAGCAGAUCCCUCGGGGCGGCGCGCCUGACAUAGCCGAGAAGCUGUCCCAGCUGUCGAUGGCCUCCACCACCAACCGGGCGCCGAUCGUGCCUUCGGACAGGUUUGCUGACCUGAAGGGCACUACUAGAGCCCAGCAACCGGAGCCCGUGAGGCGGCCCGUGCCUCUGGGACCCAGGGACACGUGGCACGCCCGGAACGACCCCUUCCGGCGCACCUAUGAGAUGCCGGGCGAGAGGGCUCUCCUCCAAAGGAAGCUCGUCAGCUGAGGACCAUCCCACCAACGCCGUCCAUCUGCCCCUUGGCAUCAUCGCCGCCACCACCACCACCGACCACAAUAAUCCAGCGGCCUCCUUCCCUGGUGGCCGGCCACCAAGUUUGUGUCUCCCUUUCGUAGUUGGUGUUGUGAUUUGAAAAUAAAAGGCCACUCUCCCCCGGCCCUGGCGUCGGCGGGGAGAGUGAAGAAACGUGGAACUUGUUGAUUUGAGCUUUGUCAGAAACGUGGAUGAUGAUGUAUGCUUUGUGAUUUGUGUGCGAACCGACCGACGAUCGCUUGUUCAUGUGACCUGUGUAGCCGCUGAUGUAUCGUGGCUAAACUUGUUGAUUUUACUUUGGUCGUUGAUCCAUUUGGAUGCUUUGCUUGCUCGCAUGGUUCGGCAUGUCCUCCUGCAUCUGCAUG